UACGUAGGGGGCAAGCGUUGUCCGGAAUCAUUGGGCGUAAAGAGCGUGUAGGCGGCUCGGUAAGUCCGCUGUGAAAGUCCAGGGCUCAACCCUGGAAUGCCAGUGGAUACUGUCAAGCUAGAGUCCGGAAGAGGCGAGUGGAAUUCCUGGUGUAGCGGUGAAAUGCGCAGAUAUCAGGAGGAACACCAAUGGCGAAGGCAGCUCGCUGGGACGGUACUGACGCUGAGACGCGAAAGCGUGGGGAGCAAACAGG
rnacentral:rRNA from 1 species